CCGGGCUCUUUAAGCAGGAACGUGGAUGGCCUCAAGAUGUCUCACAUGGUCCCACUCGCCCUCCUCCUCCCUUUGUUCCCUACCUCCAGGAGGGCUGCUCUGCCCUUCCUUCCUCUGUUCUUUGGCCUUAUGUUCCCCGCCACCACAGACCUUCCCCCGCCCCACCCCGGAGGAUUAAUCAGUGACAGGAAGCUGCCUCUCUCAGAGCCGUGACCGGCUGUGGUCAGGAGAGCUUCAACAGGGCCAGCCCCAGGAGUCUUUCCCGAUUCUUGCUCACUGCUCACCCACCUGCUGCUGCCAUGAGGCACCUUGGGGCCUUGCUCUUCCUUCUGGGGGUCUUGGGGGCCCUCGCUGAGAUCUGUGAAAUACCAGAGGUGGACAGCCAUCUGGUAGAGAAGUUGGGCCAGCACCUCUUACCUUGGAUGGACCGGCUUUCCCUGGAGCACCUGAACCCCAGCAUCUAUGUGGGCCUGCGCCUCUCCAGCCUGCAGGCUGGGACCAAGGAAGAACUCUACCUGCACAGCCUCAAGCUUGGUUACCAGCAGUGCCUCCUAGGGUAUUGCCACACUCUUCUUUUUCCAUGUUUUGCUCCACAUACUAAGAGACAG
rnacentral:sRNA from 1 species